CUACGGAGGGUGCAAGCGUUACUCGGAAUCACUGGGCGUAAAGCGCGCGCAGGCGGCCAUUUAAGUUGGAUGUGAAAGCCUACGGCUCAACCGUAGAACUGCAUCCAAAACUAUUUGGCUAGAGUGUGCGAGAGGAAGAUGGAAUUAGUUGUGUAGGGGUAAAAUCCGUAGAGAUAACUAGGAAUACCAAAAGCGAAGGCAAUCUUCUGGAACACUACUGACGCUGAGGCGCGAAAGCGUGGGGAGCAAACAGGAUUAGAAACCCUAGUAGUCC
rnacentral:rRNA from 1 species